UUUAUGUUGCGUGCGGCUUAGUUUUAAGUUACGUGCGUCUUAUUUUUAAGUUGCGUGCGUCUUAGUUUUAGUUAAUUAUACGAUAGUUGAUAUUUGUAAAUUCACUUUGAGCGCAUUCUGUACAAAGAUACGUUUAUUUAACUUAGGACGAAAUUAGGGACAUCUCCUCUCCGCUCUUCUUUCAUUAGUUGUUACUAUUGUUACUGACAUUGCACUAAAGUAGAUUUUCCAACUUUCGUUGUGAGUGUGUCAAAUCUUUUGAUUUUUCAUUUCGCG